rnacentral:rRNA from 1 species
UACGUAGGGGGCAAGCGUUGUUCGGAAUUACUGGGCGUAAAGGGUGCGUAGGUGGCGCCGUAAGUCGGGUGUGAAAUUUCGGAGCUUAACUCCGAAACUGCAUUCGAUACUGCGGUGCUUGAGGACUGGGAGAGGAGACUGGAAUUCAUGGUGUAGCAGUGAAAUGCGUAGAGAUCAUGAGGAAGACCAGUGGCGAAGGCGGGUCUCUGGACAGUUCCUGACGCUGAGGCACGAAGGUCAGGGGAGCAAACGGG